rnacentral:rRNA from 1 species
UGCAGUCGAACGGCAGCACGGGAGCAGUCCUGGUGGCGAGUGGCGAACGGGUGAGUAAUAUAUCGGAACGUGCCCAAUCGUGGGGGAUAACGCAGCGAAAGCUGUGCUAAUACCGCAUACGAUCUACGGAUGAAAGCGGGGGACUCGCAAGACCCUCGCGCGAGUGGAGCGGCCGAUAUCAAAUUAGCUAGUUGGUGGGGUAAAAGCUCACCAAGGCGACGAUCUGUNGCUGGUCUGAGAGGACGACCACCCACACUGGAACUGACACACGGUCCACACUCCUACGGGAGGCAGCAGUGGGGAAUUUUGGAGAAUGGGCGCAAGCCUGAUCCAUCCAUGCCGCGUGCAGGAUGAAGGCCUUCGGUUUGUAAACUGCUUUUGUACGGAGCGAAAACGCUCUCUCAAAUAAAGAGAGCUCAUGACGGUACCGUAAGAAUACGCACCGGCUAACUACGUGCCACC